UCAUUUGAACGUAUCAAUUGUUAAUACUUAAUUAUUUUUUCAUUAUUAUUUUGCGGUGUGUAGUGGUACAGCUGGUUACCAAAAUCCGUCUCCAUCGAGUUGCUUGGUAUGGAUUGUAAGACACAGAAGAAGACGCAUUUAGAUGUUUUUGGAUCUUGAAUCUUGAUGCUCACAGAAAAGCAAGUCAACCAGACAGGCUCUGGAAAUUGAUGAAAUGGAACAAAUUAUUUGGACAAGACACUAGAAAAAUUCUACUCGGUCGGUUUUGAAAUCAUACCUCAAGAAACUUGCGAGAUCUUCGUCUGCACUGCACUAUCAUUUCAGGGUUUGUUGGAGGCGAACGACAUCCACAACAAUGGGAUAGCGGGGUUCGGGCGCCAACCCGACAGUGACAGUGGUGCACUGCGAGAUCCACCACGGACAGACGGGUGGCUUGUACGGGCUCGGCCAGUUCAUCGACAACCGCAUCCAUUCCCACAGCAACCCCACCGCAACGAGAUCUACAACGGCCAUCAGGGUGGCGUCUUCAUCUUGGGCGAAGGCCGCGGCUUGAUCGAGCAUAACAAUAUCUAUGUGACUCAAUGUGGAUUGUGAAGACACAGAAGGGGACGCAUUUGGAUCUUGAAUCAUGAAUGUUGAAUCUUGAUGCUCACAGAAAAGGAAGUCAACCAGACAGUCGUCGCCGCCGCACCACGAUCACUCGGCGGCAUCCACAUCUAGUGGUGGUGGAUCUACAUGCAAGGAGCAUGCGCACUACCACUGGAUGUGGAUGCUGGAUGAGUUGGGCAACCUCGGCCGCUCCAGUACCAACUGCCCGACCAGGUGUUGCUAACCAUAUUCGGCUACUUGCUGUCGGUUUCAGGGCAUCAGCUCUGUUGGGGCAAACUGAGCCGCUUCGGCGAGCGGGCCAAUAAUUUCAACAUUGUUUCAAUUCCAAGUUGAUUGUUUUGAAUUAAUAUAGUCUACUGUUACAGAGAGACUAUGCCUUUUGAAAAUAUAAACGGUUACCUGAUAAGUACCUUAAUUUGUGUUAUGAAAUAUGAUUGAUAUCCAACUAUUUAAUAAAUUUCUCAAUUUGAA
rnacentral:misc_RNA from 1 species